rnacentral:ncRNA from 1 species
GAAUUGUUGUGCGGAUCAAAGCCUUUGAAUCUUGACGUGAUGUACGACCUCUUUGAAAGAUCAUAUCAGGUGGGGAGUUUAACUGGGGACUGGUACAUCCGUCAAAUGGUAACACGAAUGUCCUAUGGUUGAGCUCAAUCAGAACAGAAUCCUAGCGUAGAGUAAAAAGGCAAAAGAUUACUGAAUACUGACUUUCACAAUGAAUAUGGAAUGUGAAAGUAUGACCUAUCAAUCUUUUGAAAUAUUAUUUUAAGAGAUUGAAGCAAGAGGUAUCAGAAAAAAAGUGACUGGAUCUUGACAAUCAAGUCUUCAUAGCGUAGGAUCUUCCCGUAAUUGUGAAACAGGAUUUACCAAACGUUGGAUUGAGUUGACUUAGACCAUUGUGAGACAGGUUAGUUUCACCUUAGUAAUGAGUGAAUUAAUCAGUGACGUACAGUCUGCUAUGUUAAUUUUUUUUUUCAUUAUGACAGGAACCGCAGAUUUAGACAACUGCUUCAUGUGCCUUGUCGAAAGUCCAAUUGUGUGAGACUACUAUCAGAGGGACUAAGAUUGAACGCCUGUAAGUAGGAAUCUUGUCAAUAUUCGCAACGUCACAUUUCGUAUCAUGUACGUAGUCCUUUUGGUGUUUGGAUUGGACAAUGUGGUCGGCUAGACUGAAUAGGUCUGGUGUUAGGCCAUGGUGAUGACCAACUAAGCUCCGUAUUCCAAUGUGUAAGAGUUGACACCAUACCUAAAUGUGAUGUGAGCGUGAGGAUACUAAAUCGCUUGUAGACGACAUAAUGUUUUGUUGGAGAGACGUAAGUGCUCGAGCGGCUAUCACAGUAUGAGGCACUGAGUCCUAUGCUCGCUUUACGUCAUCG